rnacentral:lncRNA from 1 species
UUCUUUACCUAUCUCAAACGUGACUGUCCUGACGUGAGUGCAGGGCGUUACCUGUCCACUUUGUUGAGGGCCUCCUGGGCGGGAGGGGGCACCAUGAAACAGGCCCCGGGCAGGCUCUUCACACGGCCCGCGGCGUCCUGCACCUCCCAGCUCUUCACAUCGCCAUUAGACUUGAGGAGCAGAGUCUCCCCGCGCUUCACGGAGCCCUGUGGCUCCUCCCAGUCACACACCGCCAACACAGAGGUGCUGCUGGAGGGAGAGCUCCUCCUCAGCUUCAGAGGGACCACACUCUUGCUCAGGUCUCUGAGAGCCGACAGACGCUGCUCGUUCCUCUUCACCGCAGGCUCAUCUCCCUGUAGCACCAUGGUAACACACGCACGCAUUAAGUCUGAACAUCUAGGCUCUCAGUCGUCCAGGAAUAUUCUAUUAUGUAGAAAUAUUAUCCACAGGACUGGGUUGAGGACUUUUCGCUUCUAUCCGUUUUUCCAUUCUGAGAUAUGUUCUUACCUGAGAUUAGAUGAGUUGAUGCGUACCUGUCUGGUCUUUGUGCGUGCGCUCAGUCACACAAAAAGACCAAAGCUGCUGUUAGCAUUUGGCCUCUCCCAGCAUAUUCCUAUGGCUCCAAACGGGAGUGCAUAUCAACUCGACUAAGCUCAGGUAAGAACAUAUCUCAGCAUGGAAAAACGGUGGCCUGUUCCUUUAAGAGGUAUUAUCUCCCUCUUGUAGCCAAAUGUAAGGCUGGUUAAUUAAAAGUAGUUGUAAUCAAUCUAUUUUCUUGUUAUAUUGAUAAUAAUAAUAAUGGCUUAAACUUUUUUUUAAAAACUUCUCAACACUGUCUCACUACGUCUAAAAAGUGCAUCUUAUUAGCUCACAUGAACAAAUCAGGAUGUGUGGGAGGGUCUGUGAGAGCUAGAAACGAGUUUGGGCAGCAGCUCGGAGAUUUUACUUCCGCUGCCUCCGACUUGAACACAGGAGAAUUCAGUCAGUGCAGCUUAGAUACACAAGUAAACUGUACCUCUAUGGCCAGCAGCACCUCGGGGUUGCUCUUGUCCGACAGCACUUUGGGGUCCAGGUUGGAGUGGAGCCGUGAAAGGGAGUCGGACAGAGUCUCUGCGUCCAACUGAAACUGAAACGACAUUUACAACAUCACGGGCUGGAACAGGAAGAGUAACAGUAAGAGUAAGAGUAACAGCAUUGGCACUCGCUCUGUGAAACCGUACCUUCUUGUAAUCCCGGAUGUUGUCCAGGUGCUCGUCUUGGGCCAGGCACAGGUUGAGGAAGCGCUGCCACUCCGUCUGCAUUUUGUCCUUGUACGUCUGAACAAGAAAACAGCAUGACAAAGUGACAGCAGAUGAUUCAAAUAUCAAUCGCAGUCUUUAGUUUAUUGGUUUAUUUGGUAGGGACAGUGCAAGUUAAUGAACAAGCCUUGGGCUAAUUUCCAUCCGUCGUCCCCCAUGCGCACUCUCAAACACACUCUCAUUCAUCCUGGCCUAUUGUACAUGUUUUUAGUGGUAGGGGAAACCGGAGUACCCGGAGGAAACCUACGCAGACACGGGGAGAACAUGCAAACUCCACACAGAAAGGCCCGGCCUUGGUGGGAAUCGAACCCGGACCUUCUAGCUGUGCCACCGUGCCGCCCACAUUCAUGUCUGAAUGAGAUUUACGAGAGCAGAACAUCUG